GAUGAACGCUAGCGGGAGGCUUAACACAUGCAAGUCGAGGGGCAUCACGAGGUAGCAAUACCUUGGUGGCGACCGGCGCACGGGUGAGUAACACGUAUGCAACCUUCCCUGUACAGGGGGAUAACCCGGAGAAAUUCGGACUAAUACCCCAUGAUGAUAUUAAUGGGCAUCCAAUAAUAUUUAAAGCUCCGGCGGUACGGGAUGGGCAUGCGCGACAUUAGCUAGUUGGUAGGGUAACGGCCUACCAAGGCCACGAUGUUUAGGGGACCUGAGAGGGUUGUCCCCCACACUGGUACUGAGACACGGACCAGACUCCUACGGGAGGCAGCAGUGAGGAAUAUUGGUCAAUGGGCGCAAGCCUGAACCAGCCAUCCCGCGUGAAGGAAGAAUGCGCUACGCGUUGUAAACUUCUUUUCCAGGGGGAGAAUUUUCCUGUCGAGACAGGGAUUGACGGUACCCUGGGAAUAAGCAUCGGCUAACUCCGUGCCAGCAGCCGCGGUAAAACGUCUA
rnacentral:rRNA from 1 species